rnacentral:tRNA from 1 species
GAGGGUGUAGCGCAAGUGAUAGAGUGCAUGCUUAGCAUGCAUGAGGUCCUGGGUUCCAUCCCCAGUACCUCCU